UGUCUGCUGAAUAAGAAUUUAGCUGUAGCUUUUUAGCUUAUAUAUAUUUAGAUUUUUAUUAUUUCUUUAAAAUGUUAAAGUAAAGUUCUAGAAGGAAUCUUUAAGGUUACCUUAUUGAUAGAAGUUAUAAGUAGCUAUUAGAAUUUUGAAUCACCAACUGAGAUACUGAUCAUCCUUAGGGGGGCCGACAAAAUACUGUUUAUAGUUGUAGAAGGUUUCUGAAAUUGACUUGAUUGAUUGAGGAUUUAUCUUGACACAACACGGAACUCCCCCCGCUCAACAGGAGGAUGAUCUCUGCCAACCAGGGUUGUCUGGGCCAAUGGGAAGCCACCAGAAUCAACAACAGACCCUCCUAAUGGACCCUCUCCAUGGUGGCAUGAAUCAGGAAACGCAUAGAGCGACAGGAAAUGCUCACUGCUUCAACAAGCAGGGCCAGGUUUAGGAGAGAGAGUCACACCCUGAUCUGUUUCACCUGCCUUGUGCUUGUCUCCACCCCCCACCAGUCCUCCAGGUUCCGACCAUUGCUGCCUGCCCUGACCUCGAGCCUGCCUGCCAUCAUGUACCAAUCAGACUCUGUCCCAGUUUACGAACUUCUGCCUGUCCUCGACCUGUCUCUUGCCUGAUCC